CUGAUGAGUAUUUAUCAAAAAUCUUAUCCUGUAAAUAUUUUGUGAAGCACCUACAAUCAACCCUACAAUACUGCAAUAACGAUAUUAAGGUAUCUGGUCAAAAAUAUACAGAUAUUUAGUUUUUUAUUUCCAAUGGUUAAAGAUAUACUACACAGGAUUUUCCUAAAACAUGAUGCAUAGACCCAUACAGAAGUAACCCCUCUCAAGCCUCAUUUAUGACCCACCGGAAGUGUGUGGCGCUGUGUUUUUCUGCAGAGACUCUGCCCUCUGCCUGUGUUUUCUUAUGUUCUUCUCAUUUACUGUGUUCUGGACAUUUAUGGGCAUGAACUCCCACAGUGUUCAGGUGAGAUCAUGGCUUUAUAAAAAGGUAGCGACCAGGUGCUAGACUGUAAGCAGCAGCCAGCCAGGAGACACAGCACUGAAAGAAGGCAAACAUAUCAAGGCUAAACACCUAACAGGAGUGAAUCUGGGGCUGGCCUUUACUUUCAUUUUCGCACUGUCAGUCCUGUAUAGUGUACCUUUAAUACAAAAGAUAACACGGCAGGUAUUAUACUUUAAACCGCAAUCACAGGCAAUAAGAAGGUCACUCCCUGCAUGUAAACAAGCCUCUGAUUUGAUGUUGACUAUAGUGCACACUAGCUGGAGGUUGAUCCACUAAGCUCAUAUUAAGACAGUGUUCAGUCAGUAAUGUGUGACAGGACUGUUUUUACUUCCCACACUGGCUUUUACCCAUAAUUUAAUAUUUAUACGUGUGCCUGCUGGCCAAACACUCAUGCGGGGUAUUUACUGUACAUACUGGCUUCCCUUUCCCUAUCAAUAUACAUCUUAUUAAUAUAUAUUAUUGACACCAUCAUUAUCAAGUUAGACUAUUAGUGCUUUUCGAUAUUACAUCACAGGUCCAUCAAAUGUCUUUGAAUAGCGCAACCAGCUGGCUAGUCAGCAUCACCUUUUCUCAUUCAAACAUCUGAUACAACGCUGUGAAAAUAAAGUAUCACUGUCUCGAGUGAAGUGAUGCUUGAACUUCCCAAAGACCCCAGUGAUCAACGAUCAGUGUCCUAUGAUCUUUCAGCACGAUUUAAACACACACACGCAUACACACACACAUUGUCUAAAAGAGAUAACACUUUGGCCACUCGCGCUCAAACAUGUUGUGCUUUAAAAGUGCUGAAUGUAACACUGGAGAAAGAGAUGUUGGGUCUCAUUCCCAGCAAUCAGCUAUCUUUCUCCAGAGUUACAUGCAGCACCUUAAAGUUUAAAGGUUGUAUUUUCCACAUCAAGCUGGAGCUCAAACUCAUGCUUUAGGGUGAAGAAGUAGGAAAUGAGACAGACAUUUUGCGUUGGCCACAGUGAAAGGCCCCC